rnacentral:rRNA from 1 species
GAUGAACGCUAGCUACAGGCUUAACACAUGCAAGUCGCGGGGCAGCAUUCACUUAGCUUGCUAAGUGAGAUGGCGACCGGCGCACGGGUGAGUAACGCGUAUCCAACCUGCCCUUGUCCACGGGAUAACCCGGUGAAAACCGGCCUAAUACCGUAUGAGGUCACAAGCGGACAUCCAACUGUGACGAAAGGUUUUGCGGACAAGGAUGGGGAUGCGUCCGAUUAGCUUGACGGCGGGGUAACGGCCCACCGUGGCGACGAUCGGUAGGGGUUCUGAGAGGAAGGUCCCCCCACAUUGGAACUGAGACACGGUCCAAACUCCUACGGGGAGGCAGCAGUGAGGAAUAUUGGUCAAUGGACGGGAGUCUGAACCAGCCAAGUAGCGUGCAGGAUGACGGCCCUAUGGGUUGUAAACUGCUUUUUGUGCGGGGAUAAAGUGUGGGACGUGUCCCAUAUUGCAGGUACCGCAUGAAUAAGGACCGGCUAAUUCCGUG